rnacentral:rRNA from 1 species
UACGUAGGGUCCGAGCGUUGUCCGGAAUUAUUGGGCGUAAAGGGCUCGUAGGCGGUUUGUCGCGUCUGCUGUGAAAACCUAAGGCUCAACCUUGGGCUUGCAGUGGGUACGGGCAGACUAGAGUGCGGUAGGGGUGACUGGAAUUCCUGGUGUAGCGGUGGAAUGCGCAGAUAUCAGGAGGAACACCGAUGGCGAAGGCAGGUCUCUGGGCCACUACUGACGCUGAGAAGCGGAAAGCAUGGGGGAGCGAAACAGG